CCUACGGGGAGCAGCAGUGGGGGAUAUUGCACAAUGGGGGAAACCCUGAUGCAGCGACGCCGCGUGAGUGAGGAAGUAUUUCGGUAUGUAAAGCUCUAUCAGCAGGGAAUAAAGAAGAAAGUACCUCAGAGAAAAGACCCGGCUAACGACGUGCCAGCAUCCGCGGUAAUACGGAUGGGGCAAGCGUUAUCCGGAUUUAAUGUGUGUGAAGGGAGCGUAGACGGAAAGGCAAGUCAGAAGUGAAAACCCAAGGCUCAACGAUGGGACUGCUUUGGAAACUGUCAAACUAGAGUGCGGGAGAGGCAAGCGGAAUUCCUAGUGUAGCGGUGAAAUGCGUAGAUAUUAGGAGGAACACCAGUGGCGAAGGCGUCCUACUGGACUGAAACUGACGUUGAGGCUCGAAAGCGUGGGGAGCAAACAGGAUUAGAUACCCUAGUAGUC
rnacentral:rRNA from 1 species